CAUGUAAACUACACACACACAAGGUGGAGUCGGGAAUCGAAUCCCCACCCCUGGAGGUGUGAGGCCAACGUGCUACCCACUAAGCCACCGUGCCCCAUUUGACAUAUUAAAUAACUAAAUAGCAUUCGUGUCUAGCAAUGCAGAAGCAUUUUUAUCAAAAUGGGUAGCAGUGCAGAGGAGAUGGCCCUGAGCCUGAAUGCUGGAAGGCCAAUUGCUGAGGGAAUUCCUGGAGGGACUUCAUCAGAGCCAGUCACUCCAGAUUUAAGUGCCUUCAUAAAAUGUAGAGAUCUACCUACAAUUUGUAUGGUAAUAUCUGUCUCUUGGAGCCUCCUGUCCCAACAGAACCCCAGGCAGUUAAACGGCCAUUCAUCCACGACCAUCACCUCCUGUUGCACCAUGAUAAUGCACGGCCACAUGUUGUAAGGAUCUGUACACAAUUCCUGGAAGCUGAAAACAUCCCAGUUCUUGCAUGGCCAGCAUACUCACUGGACAAUGUCACCCACUGAACAUGAUUGGGAUGCUCUGGAUUGGUGUAUACAACAGCGUAUUCCAGUUCCUGCCAAUAUCCAGCAAAUUCGCCCAGCCAUUGAAGAGGAGUGGAACAACAUUCCACAGGUCAUAAUCAACAAAUUGAUCAACUCUAUGUGAAGAUGUGUUGCACUGCAUGAACCAAAUGGUGGUCACACCAGAUACUGACUGGUUUUCUGACCCCCCAACACAGUAAAAUUACAUAUUUUAAAAUGGCCUUUUAUUGCGGCCAGCCUAAAGCACACCUGGGCAAUAAUCAUGCUGUCUAAUCAGCAUCUUGAUAUGCCACACCUGUGAGGUGGCUGGAUUAUCUCAGAAGUGCUCACUGACACAGAUUUAGACAGAUCUGUGAACGAUAUUUGAGAGAAAUAGGCCUUUUGUGAAAAAGUUCAGCUCAUGAAAAAUGGGGGCAAAAACAAAAGUGUUGCAUUUGUUCAGCGUAAUUUAUUUUAAAGAAAAUCAAAUCCAAAUUUGUUAAAACAACAUUGUUUCAUAUUUACUAUACAGUGUGAUGAUCUUUGCACAUAAAUGUUCUUGUUAGGAAUCAAAAUGGCAGUGCACAUGUUUUUGUGAUGUCACAUGAACACACAGCAUAGUAUGGUGAAGUAGGUGAUGUUCAAAUUCUUUUUCAGUUCUUUUUGGCCAUUAUUGUUGUUGAAGUUCAUGACCCUGAUUCAGGACCUUCCAGUUCCUGUGAUCGCAAUGGUUAAUAAUUUAAUUUCCAAAGCAGCAGGAUGCCAGCUAGUUGCCAGUUGUGAUAUUGCUGUAGCGACAGACAAAUCGAGCUUUGCGACUCCCAGUGUGAAUGUCAGCCUGUUCUGCUCUACUCCAGGAGUGGCUAUUGGAAGAGCUGUUCCUAAAGAGGUAACUAGGAACUUGUAACCUUUUUAUUUUUUUCCAUCAAGCAUCCUAAACCAUGUUGUGUUUUACCCAAAUGAUGUUUACAGGAGGCUUUGCUACAUGGAUUAGUCAGUAUGGUGGUGCAUGAGGAAUAUUUGGAGGAAGAAGCACUGGCCAUCGCACACAGAAUCUGUAAGUCCAGUCACCCAGAGUCGGCUCUCGGAAAAGCAGCCUUUCAGAGGCAGAUGGCACGAGGCAGAUGGCACAAAGGCACGAAGCCGAGAUGCUGUCAUGGUGGACAAUCUGGCACUGCAUGAUGGGCAGGAGGGAAUUCAAGCUUUUGUAGAAAAAUGCUAACCUCUGUAGACCAACAGCACUGAGAAAGCACAUGACUAAAUCAACUAACAAACCACACAAGUGACUGUGUAAAAAAAAAGCAUCAUUUCAGCAUUAGAAUGUAUUUGAGAUUGAACAGUGUGUAUUCAUAAACAAAGAGCCAGACUCUGUAUUGUGUGAUGACAGAUUUCUGAUUUUACUUUAAGAUCCUAGAUCCAAUCAUGAGUUUUAUUUAAAUUAAAUGUGACUGUGUAGUUGUCAGUGAAGGCACAUGGCAUGACUCAUGUAAAAUAUUAUAGAAUUACAAUUUCCUAACCAUGAAGAAUCCCUUACUUUUUAAGACUUUUUUUCUUGGAUUUCUCCAAGCAUCAAGUUUAAGAGAUUAUUGCCUCUGUCAAGGUUACGUCACCUUAGAUGGAUUUUCAAUUUAACAGAGAAAGGAACCUAAGUGAAACACUUGUCUGAAUUAAUGAUGAGCACAAACAUCAGAAUAUGCAAAGUGGAUUUAAAUCAUCUAGUACAGUUACACUUUAAAUGAAAGGUUCGGUGCCAUCUUGUUUUAAUGCAUUAUACAGUGACCCAUAUGAUUUCACUCAAAUUGCUCUUCAUUCAUUUUUGCUUUUCGUGAAGGUUGCUAAUCAAAUCAAGUCAAAACCCAAGUCAAGUCAUAUAAAUGACAUCAAGUGUAUGUCAAAUCAACACUAGCUUUAUAGCAUGAGAAGCAAAGGGCAGUUAGCAUUUGGGGUAAAAUGAUAUAGUUUUUUAAUUGUAUUACAUUCUGGGAAGCAAGAAAAAUUAGCAAAGUCAAACUGUUGGCUUUAAUCAAAAGAAGAAAUUGGAUCUGACAACUGAGUAAUUUUUCUCUUCCUUACAUAUUUUAGUUUCAAGCAUGUUAUGAAAAAAUCAUGACAUCAUUCUGGUUAUAUA